UACGUAGGAUCCGAGCGUUGUCCGGAAUUACUGGGUGUAAAGGGCGUGUAGGUGGAUCUCUCAGUCGGUCGUGAAAUCCUGCAGCUUAACUGCAGAAUGGCCACCGAUACUGGAGAUCUUGAGUACGGCAGAGGGUGAUGGAAUUCAUGGUGUAGCGGUGAAAUGUGUAGAUAUCAUGAAGAACACCGGUAGCGAAGGCGGUCACCUGGUCCGUUACUGACACUGAGGCGCGAAAGCGUGGGGAGCAAACGGG
rnacentral:rRNA from 1 species